rnacentral:lncRNA from 1 species
AAGGUACUUGACUAUCACUUUUAUAAGCUUCUCCUUGGUUCUGGCGUUCAUAUAAAUAAAAGAGACAAAUGUGUAUGAUUUACAACUCUAGAUUAACCAACCUAACUGAUUCAACAUGUUUAGUCCUUUAAUCCUUGUUCUUAGUACUACCUCCAUGAUCCCACACUCCUAAUCAUAUGAGCUAAAAUGUUACACAUUCAAUCAUUAAGAGAUAUAAAGAAAAAGACAUAUACAUAGAUAGAUUAUCUUUCCAUAAGGUUGAGCGAUCUGAUCUGACAAAUAUUAUAAGUGCUACACUCAUGAACUUAUCAUCCAUCAACUUGUCUUGCUCACUAUGCUUAAGGUUAGAGAAGAACAAAUACACUUUUGGUUCUGUUGGUGUUUUCCACCAACAGGGCCCAUGCACUUGAUCUCUGCCUUGUCUCUAUGAGCAGGUACACUACGAGCACAAACACACUGAGCAAGAUACUGCUAACACCUCACUUCGAACUGCUGGGCAAACGAAGAACAUGGGUGACACCGUAUUAAAAGGUACAGACGUCAAGGUCCGCACCUGAAUCAAAUGACGCACCUGAAGAAUGAACACGGUGAGAAGUCUUGUUAAGAAGACUUAAAACAUUGAACCCUCGCCGAAAGGUAAGAUCGGUAGUUAUCCAUAUUUAUCCUUUCUGCAUUCCCUUUUCCCUUUAAUUAUUUACUUUCCUUAAAUAGAUUAUUAGUUAAUCAUGCUAUCUUGAAAAGAAAAUAAAAAUGUUAAAAAAUACUAAGCCCCAUGUGAGUACACGAGUAGCAUAAAACCCAUAAGUACCUUCACUGUGGUGGCAUAAAAAUAAAAUAAAUAUUUCUUUUCUACUUUAUAAAAUAAAAAUAUAAAAACAGGGAGUAAUAUUUAUUGAGGAAGCUCAACGUGAUGAAGGCUAGAUAUUUAUGCUAACACUUAAUUAGUUCCACAAGCUUUGUUGUCUAUUUGAGCUCCACAGAAUUUAAGAAUCAAGAAGACUAGCAGACGGAGGACAUUCUAAUCGCUGUCAGAAUGCUGCUGACUUUCAAAUACACCUCUGCCACCUGCUAGCUACAUCAAGAGAAAUUACGUCAAAAUUCAGCUUGGGGGAGAGCACCCCUAUUUAUCUCGCUAAGUAUUUCUACCUAUCUUUAUACUUAUAUUAUAUUAGAAUAAUAAAAUACAUAAACUAUGAAAAACCAAAUAAAGAUUUUAUGCUUAUAUAUAUAUAUAAAUCUUUUCUUAGUUUGCUAAAUAAAUAAAUAAAUAAAGUUUGCUAUGAAUCUUAAUAAUAAAACUCUAGCAUGGAUAUGAUGAAUAGUUGCUCUGCCUAGUUUGCAAAUUUGAAGUUCUCUCUCAAGUUUAGACAUAACUGUUAUAAUUUAAAGCUUGCUCUAGAUCUAAACUUGUGGGAUGGAAACUUGAUCUGAAAUCUAAGUUGUUAAUGAAAGUUUAAAUUCCUACCACAGCCAUAUAUACAUGCUUGCUAGACUUUGAGCCACACAUUUAUUUACUGCUUAUGAGCAUUGAGUGUGGUCAAGCUGUGUAGACCCUUAGGAGCUUGUCAUGUGGUUAAAUCAAGAUUCACUUGCACGUUCACUCAUAUAUGCUACUUCUACUCCGGAAGUACCAUCCACAUAUAUCCAUCCAUUUCCAUCUCCAGAAUCACCUAAAAAUAUUCUACUCCUAAUUCGGGAGAGAAUAGCCAAAAACAUCUGUGUUUUUCCCUUGUGAAAUAAAUGGUCAAGUUAUCUUGCUACUACCACUUGCUAUAUUAUCUCAAGAGAUGAGUGCUCUGAAAAAAAAAGAAAAGAGAAAAAAAAUAAACGAGGAAAUAAAAAGGGGCAAGUGCCCGGAACCUCGAAAGAAAAGAAAAAGAGUGAGACGAGAGGUAAAAAUGGACAAGUGUCCGACAGUAGAAUUAGGGGUACAAGACACCCACCUGAGAGGAAAGAAAAAGAAGAGCAUCUCAUUCUCCUCAUAAAGUUUCAAAAAGCAAGGAAGGUAUGUAUCCCCUCAAAAGAGCAAAAGUAGAAUUAGACUUUCACCAUUGUUAUCACCAUCAUCACCAUACACUAUUCAUUCACCACACAUGCACAUCUUGAUUUGGCUUAUUGAUUUGUUUCUUUGGAUCCAUGGUUUGACUAUACAAUAAAUGUCUUGUAAGUAUGUAUAUUUUAUCUCCCACCUAUGAGCUCCAGAUAUUAAAGCCUUAUUAGAGUAGGGUGAGAGAGAAGGCAAUGUCAAUAUGCCUUAUACCACAAAUACCACAUAUCUUGAGAGAAGGCAUAUACCAUCACUGCCUUGGUAAGGAUCCAGAAAUACCACAAAAGAGAGAUUUAGAGAGUCAUACAAGGAAUCUCUGAGUUUUAUUUGAAAAUCUACAAAAACUCCAGAGCUAUAGCUGAUCAGGAAUAAGAGACAUGGCACUUGGCUAGACUGUUCUAUCUUUUAACUACUCAAGAUAGAAGUGACGGUUACAAGUCCCAUGGUGAAAGGUAAAGUAAGUAAGUUUUAGUUCUUGACAGUUUACUCUAACUCAGAGAUGAGAACUUAUUUAAAAAGCAUGUGUACCGUCAAAUUUUUGAGAUAUUGCAACAACUUCUGAUCCAUUGCUGAGUCUAUCCUUGCUCAGGGACGAGCAAGAGGUAAGCUUGGGGGAGUUUGUUGACGGUCCUUAAGUAUCAAAUUUAAUUAUCAAAUAAACAAAGAAAAGGAUCCAAAUGAAAUCAACAUCUAGACUUAGGGUUUUAUCUAACAGAAUUCCACAAGUUUUGGUGUUUGUCUAUUUCUGCAGGGGGUUAUCAGGAAAUACGGAAGAAAGGCCCACACGUCGGGAUUGCAUAGAGAUAUUAACGUGCUGCGCAAUUAACUUACAUCUAGAAGACUCCAGAAGCCACGGGAAGGAAGCGGAGACCGAACGGAGUCAGGGACAGGGCGCCCGCCCAAGUCCUUAGGGCGCCCGCCCACCUUUUUCGACCAAUCACGCUCAAUCUCGCGGAUUAUGCUCCACCGACCUAAAGGAUCAAGAAUAACCGUUCAAUCAAUGUCGGUUUGAUCCGACGGCCCAGGUUCACUUGAGGGGACUAUAAAACCAGACCCCCUGGCCCCUGGAGGAGGCACCCCUUGAUCAUUAUUCAUUAUUCAUAGACAGAGCAAAAGCUAGGGUUUAGAGAUGAGAGCUCUCCUCUCUUCUCUAAACUAGAGUAGAUCUAGAUAGUAGCGAGAUGGAGAGCGAAGGAGGAUUAGAGGAGAGGCCGGCCUGUCGGUUCUUCCUCCGGUUGUACUUCGCCAUGAUCAAGCUCUAAUCAAGCUUGCUCAUGGGAUGACUCUGGUAAUCUACUUCUAAUUCAUUAUGCAAUUACUAAUCAUGUAUGUUCUGGUUCACAACUCUUUUGAGUACUUCUAAUCUAUAGGACCCUAUAGGUUAGAGUUGUAGUAUAGGUGUAAGCGUGGUGCUUAGACCUAGAUUACUUGUGGAUAUCCCCUGACUAGCUGGAUCGUGUGGUAGGCCGCGUAGGUGACAGUUACGUUGGUCCCCUGUAGUCCACCUCUCGUUAGCAGGACGGGUAGGGUUUAUCGGCCUAUGGAUAAGCAUCCUUUGUGGUGUACUCUUAUCACGUGGUUCGUCCCAGACAUAGACAUACCCCAUUGAAGUAGAGAAACCAUAGUUAUCCUCUCUAUUCUGCUACCAUCGCCCAUAUACUAGAAUUGCUCUAUUCUCUAUUCCCAUAUUAUCACUCACUGUUAUCUUACCCUUAAUAUUGUUCUUAUUCGAUUCUACCAUCUUUCCUAUUCACACCUAUUUACUUAUCUUGGUUAAGUUAGAGCGUAGAUCAGUUCUCCCGUUUCCCGUGGAUACGAUAAAACCUUUAACCGGGUAAAAGCUUCAACGGUAUCCGUGCGCUUGCGGAUUAUCUGUGUGCGUAUAAAUACCAUAGUACACCCUAGUGCCAUGCUGGGGAUGACAACCUAGUAUUCAAGUGGUGUUAGCAAGUGUCAACAGCAAACACCUCCCACUCAUCUCCUUCAUAGAUUAUUCAUCUUUGUCAGGUUGGGAGUGACUCCAAGUGCAUUUGCUUGAGUGAUUGCAUCUAGUGGCACUUGGAGAUCGAUUUGGCUGUGGUUUUCUUGUUGCUCUUGGUGGUUGCUGCCACCUAGACGGCUUGGAGCAGUGGAGGAGCUUUGGCACGAGUUGGUGAUUGUUCGUGGCCAUCUCCCAGUGAUUGUUAGGUGUCUUGUACCUUCCCCGGCGGAGAGCCAAAAGGUAACUCUAGUGGAUUGCUCAUGUCAUCAGGUUACCUCACUUGGAGGUUGGUUCUUGCGGUGUCCUAGUGAGGACGAGGUUCGUGCUACACCUCUUAGCCGCCGAACCACCAAGUGUUGGUCGACACAACGUAGCGUGCCGGCAAGCACGUGAACCUUGGGAGAAAAUUGUGUGUCUCCAUUGUAAUUGUUCAUUGGAUUUCUCCUGGUGAUUGGACUUCAUAUUAUUGAUUGGUUCAUCCCCUCUAUGCGGCGGUAUAAAGUUCAAACCAUCUCUCUUACAUUCUCGCAAACUAGAGUAGCUUACUUACUUGUAUAGAAACUUUAGAUAGCUCUCUAGUGUAAGUAGUGACAUAGCUCCUGUGUGCCUAGUGAUCAUAUCAACUAGAAUUGUUGGAUAGGUGGCUUGCAAAAACACCCCAUUAGAGCUAGAGAAAAAAAGCUACACUUUGUUAUUUACUAACCACUUGCUCUAGUGUGUUUGUAGAAUUUUUAAAUAGGCUAUUCAGCCCCCUCUAGCCAUAUUAGGACCUUCCACUUUCAUCUGAGUACUUCCAGUAUUUACUUUCUGUCUUAGUUUAUUUUAACUAUACAACUUGCCUACUGGCACAUUGCUUUGCCUUGUGUGUAGUGCUCGAAACCUUAGCUGGGUCUAGAGUAGUAGAAUUACUGUAGACGUGGUGUCUAGACUAUGUCUGCCCUUGUGGACUUCUUGUCACACCUGAAGAACAUCAGCAGCGAAGUGUGAUAGGCCGCUGCUGGACAUUACGAGUUCUCUUCAGUGUGUUGUUAGGCAAGUUGCAAAUAAUAGUUGCCUUGCAUGAUAGCUGCCUAGGGAAGUGUUUCGCCACACCCUUUUCACCUAUCGGCCACAGUAGGAAGGGAGUUAACUCUCAGUAUACUUAGGAUAGCUUAGCCAGAAGCCAAAUACUAGAAAUACCUCUCCACCCAAUCCUAAGCCCUUUGAUCAUCAUCCGACGACUCAAUUGGUCUAGUUAUUCCACUUCUUGUUCCCCGUGGGAAAUACGAUACCUGGAAUACUCCUGGUGAAGUGCUACAUUGACCAACGUUCGCUUGUGGUAAAACCGUUUGCCACUUCUGGUGUCACACUAGCAUUUUCUAGUGCUAUGCCAAGGACUGACAAUCCUAGGUAGUGACGCUAAGAAGAGUCAACAAGCAUUUCUAGCGCCAUUGCCGGGGAUCGGUAGGUGGUCAACUAGACUCAAAGUUGUCAAGUUAUCCUUGUUUGAUUAGAACCUUUACCUAUCCCAUGGAUCAAACAACCCUCUUUGACUACGCUGCUGCAUCAGGCGCUGAGCUGGAGGCGCCUAGUUCUUCUCAGGCCAUUUUGGCCGUUCAUUAUGAGCUUCGCCCAAGUCUCAUAGCGAUGGUUCAGGAAAAUCCCUUUUCAGGAGAAGGAGAUGAAAAUCCCUAUACCCACCUACGUGAUUUCGAGCAGCUUUGCUCAUGUAUUCACAUCCAAGGGAUGAGGCGAGUUACCCAUAAGUGGAAGCUCUUCCCGUUCUCUUUGACGGGAAAAGCCAGACGAUGGUACUCUCGCUAUGUAGGUAGUGUAGACAGAGAAUGGGAGAAGUUGGAAGCCAAGUUUUGCCUUACCUACAACCCCAUUUCCCGUGUGGCUCGUCUCCGUAGAGAGGUCCUGAACUUCAACCAAUAAGAGAAGGAUUGUCUAGGUGCGGCUUGGGCACGAAUCACAAACUUAGCAUCCUCAGGCCCAGACUUAGCCAUAACCGAGCCAACGCUAAUGCAGCAAUUCUAUCUCGGUCUUAGGCAAAGUUCUACACAAUUCCUUGAUCUAGCCUCGAAGGGAGCAUUCCUUCAUUUACCCAUUAGUGAAGGUAGGGUGGUCCUAGCAACCAUACUAGACAACACACCCUACACUGAUGACCAUAGUAAUGCCCUUGAGGAAGACUAAGCCCCUAGGGACGAAACCUCGUCAGCCGACGCUACAGUAGCCACAUCACAAGUUAUCGAGCCUGAACCACAAUCCCAAACACCUCCAAGGGAAGAAGUGAUUCAUCCCUUGGAGUAUCCUCUUAACAUCGAGAUGGAUCUUUUCACCGAUUAUGGCAACGUCUCGAAACAACAUGUGCAAAAGAGAAACCACAAUGCUCCAAAAGAGCAAGUAUCUUCUCGCUUAGAGGCUUGUUACCUCAAAGCAACUACUCAGGAGCUCAUGAUCGUUAUGAGUAGCAAAUGGCUGAAGGAGUAAGAAGCGUUGUCUGAUGUGAUAGGUUACCGAUAUGAAUCGGUACGAGGAUGGCCCGAUCUUCAUGAUAGUAGAUCAAAAGAACAAGGAUAACUUGCUGCGAACAGCGGGUAACUAGCUUUAUACCUGACAAAGGUUAGAUGCGACCAAGCGACGGGGAGAGAGGCACCGAAACCGCGAAGACUUCGACUCGAUCUCCGAACGACCGCAGAACCACAAUCCGGAACUAAUCCACACAAUACGGCGUAGCCGAACAGAAGCUGUAGAGCACGAAGUAGGGGAACCUAGAGGAUUCACUUCACAAGUCCAAGAAGAACAAGGAAGAACAAAGGUUGAGUAAGGCACUCAACAGCACGGCUGCAAUAUCAUGUAGUUUAUCAAAUGAUCAAAGGUUGCUGAUAGCUUAGAGGUAGGGGAUAUUUAUACUAGGAACAACCCUCCUAGAUAGGUAUGAAAAUGAAAUAGAGUUUCUGGGGAAGGCAAUGUGAAAGGACCCCUCGGAAUGGAUUCCCAAACUGGCUUCGCGUGACUGUUGGCCUCCAGAGCAGUUUCCAAUAAACUGAUCAUAACUUUUUAUUGCGAAGUCCAAAUGAUGAACCGUUUCUUGAAUCUGAAACUAGACUCCAAGAACUUUCCAGAAAUGUAUGUCAUACACCACGAAACAUUGUAGAUUGGUACAGUUUUGCACGGCAAGUUGUACCAACAUUCUGUCAUGACAGACUGUUGACCUUCUGAGCAGUCUGUAUUAAUUCUGUUCUGCAGGCAAUAUGGAGUAUCCAAACUAGUCGCCACUAGAUUCAUUGGAAAAUAGACUCGACAAGCUUUCCAACAAGUCCUCAUGGGCCUUCAUAGCUUUUGUGAUUAAAAAGUUAUGAAGAUUUCUUUGCACUGGUCCGUUCUAGACUUCCACUGGUCCGUUUUUGACUCUCUGGUCCGUUUGUAGUGUCUUUUGGAACUUGCACUAUUUCACUCUUCAGGGUCCGAUUUAUCCUUCUCCUCUUCUAUAUACCUGAGUACAAUUAAGGUAGAAUACUUAGGUAGUAUAUAAUUCUCAUUAAUGUUAAAAUGAAUCUCACAAAGUAGCGCGUGGACCUCUUGUUGUAGCUUAUUUGCACGACUACGUGUAACCGGUCCAUCGAUGACUUGGGCUAGUGUCGGUGUAGGUAAAACUUGAGUGGUUGUAGCUUGACUUGGAGCUUGUGACAUCUUGCUUACUGGCAUGGUCAUAUCAUCCUCCCACCCUUCAAAAAGAGUCGUCCUCGACUCGUCCAAUCCCAGGAAAGGUGAUAAAUCAGCGACAUUGAAGCUUGUACUCACACCAUAUGUACUUGGGAGAUCAAUUUCAUAUGCAUUGUCAUUGAUCUUGCGAAGCACUUUGAAGGGACCAUCAGCUCUGGGCUGCAACUUGCUCUUGCGUUGUUCAGGGAAUCUAUCCUUGCGUAGAUGUACCCAAUCGAGAUCUCCAGCCUCAAAUAACAUUUUUUUUCGACCCUUGUUUGCACGCUUCUCAUAUAUCUUGGUCAUCUUCUCAAUGUUGAUUCGAGCUCGGUCAUGAAGGCUCUUGACAAAUUCAGCUCGCUUGCUUGCAUCGAAGUUCAAUCGUUCCUGCACAGGGAAAGGCAAAAGAUCUAUCGGAGCAGUGGGUUUGAUCCCAUAUACAAUUUCAAAUGGGGUCGAAUGUACUGCCCUGUUGUAUGCAAACUCCAUAUGAGGCCAGCUUUCUUCCCAUUUAAAAGGCACUUCUUUCUUUGUCAACUCUUGGAUUGGAGCAGCAAUGGUGCUGAAACCUUUCACAAAUCGACGGAAGAAGCCAGCAAGCCCAAGGAAGCUCCUCACUUGACUCACGUUCUGUGGAGGCGUCCAUUCUUGUACAGCCUUGAUCUUCUCUUCAUCGACCUCCACACCUUGCCCUGAGACAACAAAUCCAAGAAAAACUACCUUGUCGGUGCAAAAGGUGCACUUUUCUCAAGGUUAGCAUACAAUUGUUGCUCACGUAGGACAGCAAGCACACAUUGGAUAUGUUUUACAUGAUCGUCAAGGGACUUGCUGUAAAUUAAGAUGUCAUCAAAAUAAACAACGACAAACUUUCCAAUAAAAGCUCUAAGCACAUGGUUCAUCAAUCUCAUAAACGUGCUAGGUGCAUUUGUCAAACCGAAGGGCAUCACCAACCAUUCAUACAACCCAAAUUUUGUUUUAAAGGCUGUUUCCAUUCAUCUCCUUUCAUAUGAAUUUGGUGAUAACCACUCCUUAAAUCAAUUUUAGUGAAAAUUAUGGCACCACUAAGUGCAUCAAGCAUAUCAUCUAAUCUUGGGGUGGGAUGCCUAUACAUCACAAUGAUGUUGUUAAUUGCACGGCAGUCCACAGACAUUUGCCAAGAUCCAUCUUUCUUACGAACUAAAAGGACUGGGACAGCACAAGGUGAAAGACUUUCUUGCACAUACCCUUUCUUGAUCAAGUCCUCCACUUGUCGCUGGAUUUCCUUGGUCUCCUCCGUAUUAGUGCGGUAGGCAGCGCGAUUUGGGAGGGAAGCACCAGGAACCAAAUCAAUUUGAUGCUCGAUCCCUCUCUUGGGUGGUAGCCCUGGUGGCACCUCGUCUGGAAACACAUCCUCGAAAUCUUGUAAGACAUCAAAAACAACACUUGGCAGGGUAGAGGGUAAGGUGUUAGAAGCAAAAAGAGUGUCCUUGUACAAGAGUACAAAGAACUUGCAUUAGGUUCACUCAACUCUUUUAGAUCCCCUUUCCUAGCCAUCAUAACUAACCCCUGUUUUCCCAGUUUCUGGGUUCUUUGUAGCUGUAGGGUUUAUUUGGCUAUGGAAACUCUUCCUCACUAUUUUUGUGGGUCACUCUUAAGUGGUUCUCGCUCUCUCUCUAUUUCUUCUUGAGAUCAACUUUUAAAAUUUCCUCUGGUGUCAAAGGAAGCAAAGAAAUUCGCUCUCCUUUGUACACAAAAGACAGCUUGUUGGUUCUUCCAAAAAUCUGAACAUCACGAUCAUAUAACCAUGGUCUACCUAGCAGCAGCUAGCACGCUUGCAUGUGCACCACGUCACACUCCACAUGAUCAUUAUACCUCCCAGUAGAGAAAGGAACUGUCACAACAUGGCUCACACGCAGCGUGCCACAAUCAUUCAGCCACUGCAUCUUGUAUGGAUUUGGAUGACACCUUUGUUUUAGCUCCAUUCUAUCAACCAAUUAUUGGCUAGCAAUAUUGUUGCAGCUGCCAUUGUCAACAAUAAUUCUACACAACUUCUCUUUGAUCAUGCCUCGAGUGUGGACCUUUGCAGCAGUAACACUAAGCACACGAAGAGAAAUAAAGCAGUUGUUAUCACCUUCAUCGGGUUGGAUCUCAUUAUUAUUGUUUUCAUGAUCGUCAUCAUAUCUUGGACCUUCUUCCUCUUCAUCACUUUCAGAUUCCCAUUCACCAUUCUCAUUCACAAUCAUGGUCCUCCUACUGGGACAUAGUGCAGCAAUAUGUCUACGACCAUGGCACUUGUGGCACACAAUUUCUGUACUAUGUGCAGAGGAAGUAGUAGCUGAGGAAGCAACAGUUGGGGCUGCUGCGCUUGUAGUAGGACGCUGCUGAUUUCUAGGAGAUGACGUUGUAGAAACUGUUGACGGUCCUUAUGUAUCAAAUUUAAUUAGCAAAUAAACAAAGAAAAGGAUCCAAAUGAAAUCAACAUCCAGACUUAGGGUUUUAUCUGAAAAAAUUCCACGAGUUUUGGUGUUUGUCUAUUUGUAUAGGGGGUUAUCAGGAAAUACAGAAGAAAGGCCCACACGUCGGGAUUACAUAGAGAUAUUAACGUGCUGCACAAUUAUCUUACAUCUAGAAAAGUCCAGAAGGCACUGGAACGAACGGGAGACCGAACGGGCUCGAGGGUAGGGCGCCCGCCCUGGCCUUUCCACCAAUCAUGGCCAAUCUCACGGAUCAUGCUCCACCAACCUAAAGGAUCAAGGAUAACCAUUAAAUCAAUGUCGGUUUGAUCCGACAACCCAUAUUCACUUGGAAGGACUAUAUAACCAAACCCCCUGGCCCCUGGAGGAGAGAGCCUCUCAACCCUAAUUUAUUAUUUAUCUUGGGAGAAGAAGCCUCUGAUCAAGCCCUAGAGCCACCACAUCAAUUAGAUCUCUAGAUUAGCAUAGCUACAUAGGAUCAGAACUAGAAGGAGUCAAUCUUCGAUUGGUUUCCAGAUCUGUCAAGAGGAUUCUUGGUAACUCUCUACUGUUCUUCAAUUGUUCAUCUUUGUUCUUCAAUAUUAUGAAUAUGACUUUGUUCUACAUCAAUAUAUUGAUUAUGACUUUCCUCUAGUUGUUAUAUUCGCAAUUAUAUUGUUCUUAGUUUAUCAUAGUUAUAUACCUGGCUUAGUUAGAUUGGAAUUAUAUACAUGUUUAGGAUCGUAUAGCAUUUAUCCAUUUCUACAGUGGGUAAAUGAUAAGUAUUGUGUAGGCGUGGUGCCUAUACCGUAUUUAUCUGUAAUUGUACCCUAUAUGCCAGAUCGCGGGGUAGUUCGUGGUAGUGACAGCUCCAUUGAUUCGUGUAUUGGGCUGGCAGAGCAACAUUAUUACAGAGGAGUGAUUGCGAUGUUUCUCAUAUUCCUUGAUAAUAUCACUAUGCAUGGGCGUAAUCUUUUCUCGCAAUGAUUGCCAUGUAUAAUUGCACUAACUAUGAUAUGCUAGACUGUAUAGUUAAGAAUAACUUAGGAAAUAUUCUUGUAGUUCAUCCUAAUUCCAUGCUAAUGACUUGCUAGAAUAUCUAAUUGAGGUGCUUAUCAUAUUUAUUAUGUGGCUAUGUUAUGCUGAUCAGAUUAAUUAUCUUUGUCACCAUUCAUACUUUAUAUAUCUUUUAUGUGACACUUAACCCUGUAUGAAAGAGAUAGAUAAAUGUUCUCAAUUAUACAUGCAAUGAUAGAUACUCAAUCUUAUAUUCCAUUCUAUAAUCAACAUUGAUGAUUACUAAUCCCUUCCCAGUGGUAAAAAUAUAAAUAACGAUACCUGGAAUACUUCCCGAUUAAAAUGCUACAUCGGUAUUAAUCUGUGCGCUUGCAGAUCUCAUUUAUUAUUUAUUUAGAAGAGCAAUUGCAUAUUUCAAUACCGCAUCUCUCAUGUCAUGCUAGAGAUGACAACUUGGCUUAAGUGGUAUGAGGGAUAGGUUUGGCAUUUUUGGCGCCGUUAUUAGAAUUAGAAAACUAAGUCUACUUUUGGUAGUGACGUUAAGAAUUCCCAACAAGCAUUUUUGGCGUUGUCGCCAGGGAAGGUUGGUUACGAGGGUGUCCCGAUCUUCACGACAGUAGAUUAAAAGAACAAGGAUAACAUGCUACAAACUGCGGGUAACUAGCUUUAUACCUGACAAAGGUUGGAUGCGACGAAGCGACAGGGAGAGAGGCACCGAAACCGCGAAGACAUCGACUCGAUCUCCAAACGACCACAGAACCACAAUCUGGAACUAAUCCACGCAAUACAGCGCAGCCGAAUGGAAGCCGUAGAGCACGAAGUAGGGGAACCCAGAGGAUUCACUUCACAAGUCCAAGAAGAACAAAGAACAAAGGUUGAGUAAGGCACUUAGCAGCAUGGCUGCAAUAUCAUAUAGUUUAUCAAAUGAUCAAAGGUUGCUGAUAGCUUAGAGGCAGGGGAUAUUUAUACUAGGAACAACCCUCCUAGAUAGGAAUGAAAACGAAAUAGAGUUUCCGGGGAAGGCAAUGUGAAAGGACCCCUCGAAAUGGAUUCCCGAACUAGCUUCACGUGACUGUUGGCCUCCAGAGAAGUUUCCAAUAAACUGACCAUAACUUUUUAUUGGAAGUCCAAAUGACGAACCAUUUCUUAGAUGUGAAACUGGACUCCAAGAGCUUUCCAGCAAUGUAUGCCAUGCACCACGAAAGGUUGUAGAUUGGUACAGUUUUGCACGGCAAGUUGUACCAACAUUCUGUCACGACAGACUGUUGACCUUCUGAGCAGUCUGUACUGUUGACAUUCCUUAAUGCUCAUAUUUAACCAUCAACUAAUCAUGGAAAAGGAUCCAAAUGGAACCAACACCUAGACUUAGGGUUUUAUCUGACAGAAUUCCACGAGUUUUGGUGUUUGUGUAUUUCUGCAGGGGGUUAUCAGGAAAUAUAAAAGAAAGGCCCACACGUCGGGUUUACAUAGAGAUAUUAACGUGCCGCGCAAUUUUCUAUCAUCUAGAAGACUCCAGAAGCCACGGGACUAAAGCGGAGGCCGAGAAGACACAGGGGCAGGGCGCCCGCCCUCCUUUCCUGGGCGCCCGCCCUCAGCCAGAGUCCAAUCAGGACUCUCUUUCGGGAUAUUGCUCCACUGACCUAAAGGAUCAACAAUAACCGUUCAAUCAAUGUCGGUUUGAUCCGACGGCCCAGAUUCACUUGAAGGGACUACAAAACCAGACCCCCUGGCCCCUGGAGAUCAUAUCUCUUCUACAGAAUCAAAGCUAGGGUUUCAAUUCUUCAUCCAAGUAGAGAGGAUCCCUCUAGUUCUUCUAGUUCUACCUCUAGUUCAUCUAGAUCUAGUUCUAGUUCAUCUAGUUCUAGUUCUAGUUCCUCUAGUUCUAGUUCUAGUUAGUUCUAGUUGUAAUC